rnacentral:rRNA from 1 species
AUACGGAGGGUGCGAGCGUUAAUCGGAAUUACUGGGCGUAAAGCGCGCGUAGGCGGCUAAGUAAGUCGGAUGUGAAAGCCCUGGGCUCAACCUGGGAAUUGCAUUCGAUACUGCUUGGCUAGAGUAUGGUAGAGGGUAGUGGAAUUCCUGGUGUAGCGGUGAAAUUCGUAGAUAUUGGGAAGAACACCAGUUGCGAAGGCGGCCACCUGGCCCGGUACUGACGCUGAGGUGCGAAAGCGUGGGGAGCAAACAGUAUUAGAUACCCCGGUAGUCC